CACGUAGGGGACGAGCGUUGUCCGGAUUCAUUGGGCGUAAAGCGCGCGUAGGCGCCACGCAAGUCGGGUGUGAAAUCCCGGAGCUCAACUCCGGAACUGCACUCGAAACUGCGCGGCUUGAGGUAGGUAGGGGAGAUCGGAAUUCCUGGUGUAGCGGUGAAAUGCGCAGAUAUCAGGAGGACACCAGCGGCGCGAAGGCGGCGCUCUGGGCCGGUACUGACGCUGAGGAGCGAAAGCGUGGGUAGCAAACAGG
rnacentral:rRNA from 1 species